AAAGAUUGGUGUGCGUUUGAUUAGCUAGUUGGUAGGGUAACGGCCUACCAAGGCAACGAUCAAUAGCUGGCGUGAGAGCGCGACCAGCCACACUGGAACUGAGACACGGUCCAGACUCCUACGGGAGGCAGCAGUAGGGAAUAUUGGACAAUGGGCGAAAGCCUGAUCCAGCCAUGCCGCGUGAUAGAUGAAGGCCCUCUGGGUUGUAAAUAUCUUUUAUCUGGGAAGAAACACUUCUAUUCUUAGAAGCUUGACGGUACCAGAGGAAUAAGCACCGGCUAACUCCGUG
rnacentral:rRNA from 1 species